GCGCCCUUAGCUCAGCUGGAUAGAGCAACGGCCUUCUAAGCCGUAGGUCGCAGGUUCGAAUCCUGCAGGGCGUGCCA
rnacentral:tRNA from 1 species